GUUGACAUUCGUGCCGCGAGACCAUAGCAUCGCGCCACGAAUCACGGAGAGCUGAAGCCCGGUGAAAUUCCGGCACUGUCCCGCAACGGUAAUUGAGCGACUUCGCUCAUCAGUCCGAACGCCCCGCGAGAUUCGAUGCGC
rnacentral:ncRNA from 2 species